UACAUGGGGUGCAAACGUUGCUCGGAAUUAUUGGGCGUAAAGCGCACGUAGGCGGUUCGUUAAGUCGGAUGUGAAAGCCCUCGGCUCAACUGAGGAAGUGCACCCGAAACUGGCGAGCUUGAGUACGAAAGAGGAUCGCGGAAUUCCCGGUGUAGAGGUGAAAUUCGUAGAUAUCAGGAGGAACACCAAUUGCGAAGGCAGCUCGCUGGGACGUUACUGACGCUGAGACGCGAAAGCGUGGGGAGCAAACAGG
rnacentral:rRNA from 1 species